rnacentral:rRNA from 1 species
UGAGGAAUUUUCCGCAAUGGGCGCAAGCCUGACGGAGCGACGCCGCGUGGGUGAUGAAGGCUUUCGGGUCGUAAAACCCUGUCAGAGGGGAAGAUGAUGACGGUACCCUCAGAGGAAGCCUCGGCUAACUACGUGCCAGCAGCCGCGGUAAGACGUAGGGGGCGAGCGUUGUCCGGAAUUACUGGGCGUAAAGCGCUUGUAGGCGGGAAUGUAAGUUGAAGAGAAAAUUCUUUGGCUCAACUAAAGACUCAUCUUCAAUACUGCAUUCCUUGAGGACAGGAGAGGGGAGUGGAAUUCCCGGUGUAGCGGUGAAAUGCGUAGAGAUCGGGAGGAACACCAGUGGCGAAGGCGGCUCUCUGGCCUGAUUCUGACGCUGAGGAGCGAAAGCUAGGGGAGCAAACGGG